rnacentral:rRNA from 1 species
GACGAACGCUGGCGGCGUGCUUAACACAUGCAAGUCGAACGGAAAGGCCCUGCUUUUGUGGGGUGCUCGAGUGGCGAACGGGUGAGUAACACGUGAGUAACCUGCCCUUGACUUUGGGAUAACUUCAGGAAACUGGGGCUAAUACCGGAUAGGAGCUCCUGCUGCAUGGUGGGGGUUGGAAAGUUUCGGCGGUUGGGGAUGGACUCGCGGCUUAUCAGCUUGUUGGUGGGGUAGUGGCUUACCAAGGCUUUGACGGGUAGCCGGCCUGAGAGGGUGACCGGCCACAUUGGGACUGAGAGACGGCCCAGACGCCUACGGGAGGCAGAAGUGGGGAAUAUUGCACAAUGGGCGGAAGCGUGAUGCAGCAACGCCGCGUGCGGGAUGACGGCCUUCGGGUUGUAAACCGCUUUCGACUGUGACGAAGCGGGAGUGACGGUAAUGGGUAAAGAAGCACCGGCUAACUACGUG